AAUGAACGUUGGCGGCGUGGAUUAGGCAUGCAAGUCGCGCGAGAAGUCUUUUUUCGGAAAGACGGAAAGCGGCGAAAGGGAGAGUAACGCGUGGGUCACCUACCCUGGGGUCCAGGAUAGCUGCGGGAAACUGCAGGUAAUACUGGAUAACAUCUCCGGAUCAAAGGUGCGAUUCCGCCCGAGGAUGGGCCCGCGUUCUAUUAGCUAGUUGGUAGGGUAAUGGCCUACCAAGGCGACGAUGGAUACCGGGUGUGAGAGCAUGACCCGGCUCACUGGGACUGAGACACUGCCCAGACACCUACGGGUGGCUG
rnacentral:rRNA from 1 species